CCUAUGGGAGGCAGCAGUGAGGAAUAUUGGACAAUGGGCGCAAGCCUGAUCCAGCCAUGCCGCGUGCAGGAAGAAGCAUCUAUGGUGUGUAAACUGCUUUUGUACGGGAAGAAACACUGCUACGUGUAGCAGCUUGACGGUACCGUAAGAAUAAGGAUCGGCUAACUCCGUGCCAGCAGCCGCGGUAAUACGGAGGAUCCAAGCGUUAUCCGGAAUCAUUGGGUUUAAAGGGUCCGUAGGCGGUUUGGUAAGUCAGUGGUGAAAGCCCAUCGCUUAACGAUGGAACGGCCAUUGAUACUGCCAGACUUGAAUUACUAGGAAGUAACUAGAAUAUGUAGUGUAGCGGUGAAAUGCUUAGAUAUUACAUGGAAUACCAAUUGCGAAGGCAGGUUACUACUAGUUUAUUGACGCUGAUGGACGAAAGCGUGGGGAGCGAACAGGAUUAGAUACCCUGGUAGUCCACGCCGUAAACGAUGGAUACUAGCUGUUCGGGGUAACCUGAGUGGCUAAGCGAAAGUGAUAAGUAUCCCACCUGGGGAGUAACGUUCGCAAGAAUGAAACUUCAAAUUGAGUUGNGNGNGAGAGNGCGACGACGACGACGAGGAGGAGG
rnacentral:rRNA from 1 species